rnacentral:rRNA from 1 species
UACAGAGGUCCCCAAGCGUUGUUCGGAUUCACUGGGCGUAAAGGGUGCGUAGGUGGUUAGGUAAGUCUGAUGUGAAAUCUCUGGGCUCAACCCAGAAACUGCAUUGGAUACUAUCUAGCUAGAGGAGUGGAGGGGGGACUGGAAUACUUGGUGUAGCAGUGAAAUGCGUAGAUAUCAAGUGGAACACCAGUGGCGAAGGCGAGUCCCUGGACACUUCCUGACACUGAGGCACGAAAGCUAGGGGAGCAAACAGG